rnacentral:rRNA from 1 species
UACGUAGGGGGCAAGCGUUGUCCGGAUUUAUUGGGCGUAAAGGGCUCGUAGGCGGUUUGUCACGUCGGGAGUGAAAACUCAGGGCUUAACCCUGAGCUGUGCUUCCGAUACGGGCUGACUAGAGGGAUGCAGGGGAGAACGGAAUUCCUGGUGUAGCGGUGGAAUGCGCAGAUAUCAGGAGGAACACCGGUGGCGAAGGCGGUUCUCUGGGCAUUUCCUGACGCUGAGGAGCGAAAGCAUGGGGAGCGAACAGG